rnacentral:tRNA from 1 species
GCCUGCGUGGCUCAGUUGGUUAAGCAUCUGCCUUUGACUCAGAUCACGAUCCCAGAGUCCUGGGAUGGAGUCCCACCUCAGGCU